rnacentral:lncRNA from 1 species
GGCUAACUGGGCCAAGUGGCCCAGAGGUUUUUUUUCCUUUUUGUGCUUUUGUCUUUUGUUUUUCUUAUAAUUAGUUUUUGUUUAAUAGUUUUCUAUUUUAUUUUCUAUAAAUUUGAGUUUUAUAAAAUAUAAAAAAACACAUAAAUUUAUGUUACUAAAUAUGCUACAUCAAUAAAAACUUUGGCAUUAAACAAAAUAGUUUGUAAUCUUGUAAUUUAUAAAAGGCAUUUAAUUAAUUGUUUUUGUCAUUGUUUAAUUUAUUUUUGAGCAUUUAAACAUUUUAGAAAAAUGUGGUUUAUUUAUCAGAAAUAUCCAUGAUUUAUUUGUCACAGUUUGCACAUUUUAUUUUUGACUUUAUUUUAAAUUUGAAUUUAAACCGGUUUUGAAUCAACGUGAUUUCUAUCAACAGUAAAAGCGAUGACCUGGCAACAUUAAAAGGGGAUUACUGUAGUUUAAUUAUCCGGGCGUUACAUGGACACAUGGCAAAUUUAGCAUGAUUUGUUUUGUUUUUCCCCAAAAUCUUGGCAAAUUUGCCAUGUGAACACAAUUUAGGUUGCCAUUGUGUCAAAUAGAACCUCAAUUAGACAAAAUCCAGUACAUGUACAUAACCAGAAAAAUCGGGUGGCUCAGUCACUCUGAAAGAAUAUGUGGUACAAGCAACAUCUCACCAGGCCGAAUCGGUGAUGCGCGGACCACACGAGGAGUCGUUGCCGCUGAAGCUCGCACACUGGGUGCGGCAGUGAGCGGCGCAGCGGUUGGGGAAGACGGCGACCGACGUCUGCCGCUAGAACGGGGUGCUGAUCUAGAGGAUAGCUGGUCGGGCGCGGCGUUCCCGGCGACGGACGGUGGCGGGAAGCACCAGAUCAAAGCUCCAUGGUGGCCUGUGUGCGAGAUAGAGAGAAGGUGAGAGAGUAGGUGGAGAAAGGAUAAGAAAACAUAGGAGGCAUAGCGCCACCACGACGGCGACAAGAAUCGAGCGCCGUCCUCGAGCUGCUUCUCUCCAUGUCGUUCGCCGUCAACAAUUUCUCCUCCGAAAUCUCGCUGCCGCCGGGUGUGGAGAUGAGGAAGGAGGAGGAGAAAGGAAGAAGACGAGUGUAGCGAGGCCUCACCGACGAGCUGCGGCUGCUCGAUAUGUCCAUCGGGAGGCUUGGUGCGGCGACGGAGAAAACCCAUCAACGAGCAGCUCGUCUCUCCCUCUUUGUGAGGAUGACCGCGAAAAAUGGAACCGAAAUGAUAGUGCCAAGAGGGGAGUGAAUAAGGUGGCGGUUGACUUGUCGUGAACGCGCGCCCGCGCGGGCGCGUCCCUACGACGAACGAACUGGAAACGUGACCUAGCAACCAGAUGUGCUUCAAGAUUCGCGCAAAUGAUCUGACGGCAAUUGAUGUGUUAGCCCUAGAAACCUAAA